rnacentral:rRNA from 1 species
UUUAUCGGAGAGUUUGAUCCUGGCUCAGGACGAACGCUGGCGGCGUGCCUAAUACAUGCAAGUCGAGCGGACAGAUGGGAGCUUGCUCCCUGAUGUUAGCGGCGGACGGGUGAGUAACACGUGGGUAACCUGCCUGUAAGACUGGGAUAACUCCGGGAAACCGGGGCUAAUACCGGAUGCUUGUUUGAACCGCAUGGUUCAGACAUAAAAGGUGGCUUCGGCUACCACUUACAGAUGGACCCGCGGCGCAUUAGCUAGUUGGUGAGGUAACGGCUCACCAAGGCAACGAUGCGUAGCCGACCUGAGAGGGUGAUCGGCCACACUGGGACUGAGACACGGCCCAGACUCCUACGGGAGGCAGCAGUAGGGAAUCUUCCGCAAUGGACGAAAGUCUGACGGAGCAACGCCGCGU